rnacentral:rRNA from 1 species
AGCAGUGGUUUCCGCAAUGGGCGAAAGCCUGACGGAGCAAUGCCGCGUGGGGGUUGAGGCCUACGGGUCCCGAACUUCUUUUCUCGGAGAAGAAGCAAUGACGGUAUCUGAGGAAUAAGCAUCGGCUAACUCU